rnacentral:tRNA from 1 species
AGCAGUUUAGCUUAGUGGUAAAGCACUUAGCCGGAAUCUUGGAGAAUGUGGGUUCGAGUCCCAUGGCUAUUU